AGCGGACCCAAGAUGGCGACCGAGUUGGAGUACGAGUCCGUGCUGUGUGUGAAGCCAGACGUCAGCGUCUACCGGAUUCCGCCCCGGGCCUCCAACCGCGGUUACAGGGCCUCUGACUGGAAAUUAGACCAGCCUGAUUGGACUGGUCGCCUCCGAAUCACUUCAAAAGGGAAGACUGCCUAUAUCAAACUCGAGGAUAAAGUUUCAGGGGAGCUCUUUGCUCAGGCACCAGUAGAACAAUAUCCUGGUAUUGCUGUGGAGACAGUGACAGAUUCUAGCCGCUACUUUGUAAUCCGGAUCCAGGAUGGUACUGGGCGCAGUGCUUUCAUUGGCAUUGGCUUCACAGAUCGGGGAGAUGCCUUCGACUUUAAUGUCUCCUUGCAGGAUCACUUCAAGUGAGUGAAGCUUGUCCUUAGUUACGAGGCUGAAUGCUUAUAGGAAUGCUGCUUCUCACAUGAGUGGGCAGUAUCUCUUCCUCCUGGUUUCUUUAUUUCUUAAACUAUUUCAUUGUGAAUAUAAAUCUCCCCAUUCACUUUUGUUUCCUUAGGUCAUCUUUGUAUCUAUUCUGUUUCCUUUCCUUAUAGCCUGCAAUAUGUUUCAGAUCCCUUGUGCAGUAGUUUGAAAUGAUGCUCUGUCGAAUUUGCCCCAUCUUUUAGGGGGUAGAGGGAGGCCUAUGGUAACAGCAGGGCUUUAUGUGGGGAGUCGUGUGCCACUCUUGUUACCUUAUGUAGCUGACAUGUUUUGUGACUUUUGCAACAUUUCUUUAGCCCACUUGAUUUUGGUGCAGCUGUGGUUGACAGCACUGUGCACACUGUCAGCUUCCUACCUCAAGAGCAAGCAUAUCUCUCCUUUUCUGCCUUAGGACUCUGAAGUUAUAGAAGGCUAAGAGCAAGCUUUAACUUGGAGAGACUAAGAAACUAACACCCCCUCAGGAGCAGCCCUCAACUGUGGGGAAUGGGAAUUGGUGGCUAAAUACCAUCCUUCUGGAAGGGGCAAUUCUAAUACGUAUUCCGUGAGAUUUCUCAGAGAGUCCCCAGUGGAAUUGAACCCCAGUUGUUUUCUUUCUUGGCUUUUUUCCCUUCUGUUUCUCACUCUUUUUUAUCUCUCACUGUGUUUUCUGGAAUCUCAUUUCAUAAAAGUAAAUACACCCAAAUUUGUAUGUCAGACUCUGCUUUCAGGAAAUCUCAAACUAAGAUAACUUGCUGUGUUCCCAAAGGUGGGUAAAGCAGGAAUCUGAGAUUUCCAAGGAAUCUCAAGAAAUGGAUGCUCGUCCUAAGUUGGAUCUGGGCUUCAAGGAAGGACAAACCAUCAAGUUGAGUAUCGGGAACAUUACAAACAAGAAAGGAGGUGCUUCUAAGCCCAGGACUGCAAGGGGUGGGGGUCUGAGCCUACUCCCACCCCCGCCAGGAGGCAAAGUCACUAUUCCCCCACCAUCCUCCUCAGUUGCCAUCAGCAAUCAUGUCACCCCACCACCCAUUCCGAAAUCUAACCAUGGAGGCAGUGAUGCAGAUAUCCUUUUAGAUUUGGAUUCUCCUGCUCCUGUCACGACACCAGCACCAACUCCAGUUUCUGCAAGCAAUGACUUGUGGGGAGACUUCAGCACUGCAUCCAGCUCUGUUCCAAACCAGGCACCACAGCCAUCCAACUGGGUCCAGUUCUGAAUGGCAUUGGCAGGACAUUAAGGACAGACUUGAGGAAUAAAAAUGACCUUGAGGGCACCAAUCUGUGAGGGAAGUUAGGAACCCAUUUCCUCCCCAGAACCAGAAUGACUGGAAAAUCUUUUUCAUAGCUUCUCCAUCACAUUCAAGCUGGUUUAUGUCACUCCCCUGUGUUGUUACUUGUACAGCCAAGAAAGUAUCUGUUAUCUCCUGCUUAGUACCAAGGUAGGGGACUAGUGGAUCUUAUCAUAGUUUUGGCUGACUAUGCAGGGCUUAAAAGGCCAGCGUCUGUUUGAGGGGGAAUGACCUCUAACAUCUGUAAAAUUUGUCUCAUCUUUUAAAUUCUUUAACUUAUUUCAAAAUCAUCUCAUGACCCUUGUGUGCCUCUUUGUGAAGCCCUAUUUAGCAAUUUCAGGGGAGUCAAAAACCUUGCAACUUCCUUCUCCACUAACCCAGGACUAAAAAUGGACAGGCUCACCUCAGUGUUUACAAAUUCAGAAUUUUGAUAGGGGUAGAUAUGGAGAAAGACCUAUUUCCUGGGUCUCUGCUGUGUAGUCUCCUUCAGGCUUAUUGUACUCAGUGAACAUCCAGUGCUGGGUGCAGCUCCAUCACCCUCUUGUGUGUUUACAUGUCUCUUUCUAUGAUAAGAGGGUUGUGUUGGUGGCACCUCCACUACUCUUUUCUGUUUGUUGAGUGAAUUGUGUAACAUCUUUGAUCAGUGGGUGUCUCUGUAAUGAAGGAGGUUCAAGAGGCUGUGCUUUCCAAGUGAUAGUCUAUAGGAGUGUUUAAUUUCUUGCAGCUCCAUCUGGUUGCUGCAUUUGAAGCAUGGCAUUAAUUUGUAUUUGCCCUGUUCUUUGACCUAAAGUUGAAGGGUUUAGAGUUUUUAACCUGAUCUGUAGAGCAGAGAGGUUGAAAGCACUUAACUCUUGUUUAGUAUCCUCAUUGCCUUGCUGCCUGGGUAUCUGGCCCCUUUCCAUAAACAUUUCUUUUCAGUUCAUGUAGUUCUUUAAUAGAAAGCUGCUGUUAUGUAUAUUGUCAUUUGUGAAGGAAGUUGGAGAGUCACAGCUUUACUGUGACAGGUUUUGCCCAAGGCUUUGAUACCUGUCACCCAGGGUAUCUUAAAAGCAAGUUGUUCUCCCACUACUUUCCUUUCCCUCUGCCCUGCCAUUCCUUUUACAAUGCUGUGAAAAAAGUUCUGCUUCUUAGGUGAAUGGGGUACUUUCUAUUUUGUUUCUAAACGAGCAAUUUUGAGGAUGAAAUGGGAAGAUAUCAUUGCUUCCUUUUUGCACCUAUUGGGUAUGUACACUCUGGCCGAAGGGAGUCCUUAUGUUUAGUUUCAAAAUAUAUUACUUUCCUGGAUUCUCUUCUUCACUUUUUCUGACUUUGGGUCCAUUUUCUUUUCAUUGCCUCCUUUUCCAGGCAGCUCUAUUCUUGCAGAGCCAUAGCAGGACAUAUUAAAAUUCCAAUAGAAAACACUAAAAGGAAAGUCUGUGGAAUCACUAGUGACUAAAUACUGGGAACCUAUUUUCUCAAUCUUCCUCCAUGUUGUGUUCUUUGUAUUCUCGAGAUGAUAAUAUAUUAUGUAUUUGAAUUCCUGAAAAAUGGAAAAUGUUUAAGAUAUAUGUAUAUAAAGCAUAUGCUGUAUUGGU
rnacentral:sRNA from 1 species